rnacentral:rRNA from 1 species
GAUGAACGCUGGCGGCGUGCCUAAUACAUGCAAGUCGAGCGAACAGACGAGGAGCUUGCUCCUCUGACGUUAGCGGCGGACGGGUGAGUAACACGUGGAUAACCUACCUAUAAGACUGGGAUAACUUCGGGAAACCGGAGCUAAUACCGGAUAAUAUUUUGAACCGCAUGGUUCAAUAGUGAAAGACGGUUUUGCUGUCACUUAUAGAUGGAUCCGCGCGGCAUUAGCUAGUUGGUAAGGUAACGGCUUACCAAGGCAACGAUGCGUAGCCGACCUGAGAGGGUGAUCGGCCACACUGGAACUGAGACACGGUCCAGACUCCUACGGGAGGCAGCAGUAGGGAAUCUUCCGCAAUGGGCGAAAGCCUGACGGAGCAACGCCGCGUGAGUGAUGAAGGUCUUCGGAUCGUAAAACUCUGUUAUUAGGGAAGAACAAAUGUGUAAGUAACUGUGCACGUCUUGACGGUACCUAAUCAGAAAGCCACGGCUAACUACGUG